CCUGGUAGUCCACGCCGUAAACGAUGUCGACUUGGAGGUUUUGCCCUUGAGGCGUGGCUUCCGGAGCUAACGCGUUAAGUCGACCGCCUGGGGAGUACGGCCGCAAGGUUAAAACUCAAAUGAAUUGACGGGGGCCCGCACAAGCGGUGGAGCAUGUGGUUUAAUUCGAUGCAACGCGAAGAACCUUACCUACUCUUGACAUCCAGAGAAGUUAGCAGAGAUGCGAUCGUGCCUUCGGGAACUCUGAGACAGGUGCUGCAUGGCUGUCGUCAGCUCGUGUUGUGAAAUGUUGGGUUAAGUCCCGCAACGAGCGCAACCCUUAUCCUUUGUUGCCAGCGGUCCGGCCGGGAACUCAAAGGAGACUGCCAGUGAUAAACUGGAGGAAGGUGGGGAUGACGUCAAGUCAUCAUGGCCCUUACGAGUAGGGCUACACACGUGCUACAAUGGCAUAUACAAAGAGAAGCGACCUCGCGAGAGCAAGCGGACCUCAUAAAGUAUGUCGUAGUCCGGAUUGGAGUCUGCAACUCGACUCCAUGAAGUCGGAAUCGCUAGUAAUCGUGGAUCAGAAUGCCACGGUGAAUACGUUCCCGGGCCUUGUACACACCGCCCGUCACACCAUGGGAGUGGGUUGCAAAAGAAGUAGGUAGCUUAACCUUCG
rnacentral:rRNA from 1 species